rnacentral:rRNA from 1 species
AGAGUUUGAUCCUGGCUCAGAUUGAACGCUGGCGGCAUGCUUUACACAUGCAAGUCGGACGGCAGCACAGGGAAGCUUGCUUCUCGGGUGGCGAGUGGCGAACGGGUGAGUAACAUAUCGGAACGUACCGGGUAGCGGGGGAUAACUGAUCGAAAGAUCAGCUAAUACCGCAUACGUCUUGAGAGGGAAAGCAGGGGACCUUCGGGCCUUGCGCUAUCCGAGCGGCCGAUAUCUGAUUAGCUGGUUGGCGGGGUAAAGGCCCACCAAGGCGACGAUCAGUAGCGGGUCUGAGAGGAUGAUCCGCCACACUGGGACUGAGACACGGCCCAGACUCCUACGGGAGGCAGCAGUGGGGAAUUUUGGACAAUGGGCGCAAGCCUGAUCCAGCCAUGCCGCGUGUCUGAAGAAGGCCUUCGGGUUGUAAAGGACUUUUGUCAGGGAAGAAAAGGCCGUUGCCAAUAUCGGCGGCCGAUGACGGUACCUGAAGAAUAAGCACCGGCUAACUACGUGCCAGCAGCCGCGGUAAUACGUAGGGUGCGAGCGUUAAUCGGAAUUACUGGGCGUAAAGCGGGCGCAGACGGUUACUUAAGCAGGAUGUGAAAUCCCCGGGCUCAACCCGGGAACUGCGUUCUGAACUGGGUGACUCGAGUGUGUCAGAGGGAGGUGGAAUUCCACGUGUAGCAGUGAAAUGCGUAGAGAUGUGGAGGAAUACCGAUGGCGAAGGCAGCCUCCUGGGAUAACACUGACGUUCAUGUCCGAAAGCGUGGGUAGCAAACAGGAUUAGAUACCCUGGUAGUCCACGCCCUAAACGAUGUCAAUUAGCUGUUGGGCAACUUGAUUGCUUGGUAGCGUAGCUAACGCGUGAAAUUGACCGCCUGGGGAGUACGGUCGCAAGAUUAAAACUCAAAGGAAUUGACGGGGACCCGCACAAGCGGUGGAUGAUGUGGAUUAAUUCGAUGCAACGCGAAGAACCUUACCUGGUUUUGACAUGUGCGGAAUCCUCCGGAGACGGAGGAGUGCCUUCGGGAGCCGUAACACAGGUGCUGCAUGGCUGUCGUCAGCUCGUGUCGUGAGAUGUUGGGUUAAGUCCCGCAACGAGCGCAACCCUUGUCAUUAGUUGCCAUCAUUCGGUUGGGCACUCUAAUGAGACUGCCGGUGACAAGCCGGAGNGGCUACCCUCUGUACCGACCAUUGUAUGACGUGUGAAGCCCUGGUCAUAAGGGCCAUGAGGACUUGACGUCAUCCCCACCUUCCUCCGGCUUGUCACCGGCAGUCUCAUUAGAGUGCCCAACCGAAUGAUGGCAGGCGGUGAAACCGAUAAAUCCAGUGUUUUGUUUUCCUUGCCCAUCAGUUCGACUAAGGCUUGGUUGACCACGCCGAUAAAGGCUUGGUCAGGCGUCAGGCUGCCCGCCACUUCCUGACCG